ACUCCUACGGGAGGCAGCAGUGGGGAAUAUUGCACAAUGGGCGCAAGCCUGAUGCAGCAACGCCGUGUGAGUGAAGAAGGUUUUCGGAUCGUAAAAACUCUGUCCUAAGGGAAGAAAAAAUGACGGUACCUUAGGAGGAAGCCCCGGCUAACUACGUGCCAGCAGCCGCGGUAAUACGUAGGGGGCAAGCGUUAUCCGGAAUCACUGGGCGUAAAGGGUGCGUAGGCGGCUUGACAAGCCAGGGGUGAAAGGCAUUGGCUCAACCAAUGUAAGCCUUUUGGAACUGUUAAGCUUGAGUGCAGGAGAGGUAAGUGGAAUUCCUAGUGUAGAGGUGAAAUUCGUAGAUAUUAGGAGGAACACCAGUGGCGAAGGCGACUUACUGGACUGUAACUGACGCUGAUGCACGAAAGCGUGGGUAGCGAACAGGAUUAGAUACCCUGGUAGCACAGAG
rnacentral:rRNA from 1 species